rnacentral:rRNA from 1 species
GAUGAACGCUAGCGGCAGGCUUAACACAUGCAAGUCGAGGGGCAGCAGGGUAGCAAUACUCGCUGGCGACCGGCAAACGGGCGCGGAACACGUACAGAAUCUACCUUUAUCUGGGGAAUAGCCCGAAGAAAUUCGGAUUAAUACCCCACUAAUAUACGAGAGUGGCAUCACUCAUGUAUUAAAACUACCGGUGGAUAGAGAUGACUGUGCGUCCCACUUAGCUAGUU